rnacentral:rRNA from 1 species
AUACGUAGGGGGCGAGCGUUGUCCGGAAUGAUUGGGCGUAAAGGGCGCGUAGGCGGCCCGGUAAGUCUGGAGUGAAAGUCCUGUUUUUAAGAUGGGAAUUGCUUUGGAUACUGUCGGGCUUGAGUGCAGGAGAGGUAAGUGGAAUUCCAAGUGUAGCGGUGAAAUGCGUAGAGAUUGGGAGGAACACCAGUGGCGAAGGCGACUUACUGGACUGUAACUGACGCUGAGGCGCGAAAGUGUGGGGAGCAAACAGGAUUAGAUACCCUGGUAGUCCACACUGUAAACGAUGAAUGCUAGGUGUAGGGGGUAUCGACCCCUUCUGUGCCGCAGUCAACACAAUAAGCAUUCCGCCUGGGGAGUACGGCCGCAAGGUUGAAACUCAAAGGAAUUGACGGGG